AAAUAUUUGAGUUUGAUGAUGGCUCUGAUUGAACGCUAUCCAAGUGCUUGACACAUGCUAAUCGUACGACAUCAUGUUAAAAAAUGAUGUAGUGGUGUACAGGUGAGUAAAUAAUAUUUUGGCUACCUUAAAGAAAGGUUAAAUACCUUAUAUAAGAAAGAAAUUAAUAUUUCGCUUUAAGAUGUUAAUAAAUAUUCUCGGUGAAUAUAUAGUAGUAGAAAAGGUAAUAUCUUAACUAGCUAUAAACCGUAGUCGUGACUGAGAGGUCGAUCGAUCACAUUGGGUCUGAAAAAACCCCAAUGCGUAUUAGUACAGCAGUGAGGAAUAUUGGUCAAUGGCCUAACGGCUGAACCAGCAACUUGGGGGAAUAAAUAUAAUGAUAUAAAUAAUAUCAUUAUUUUUCUAAAUAGGAUAAUGAUUAUGACAAUUUUCUAUUUAUAAGUCUUGACCAAAUUACGUGCCAGCAGUCGCGGUAAUACGUAGAAGACAAGUGUUAGUCAUCUUGAUUGGGUUUAAAGGGUACCUAGACGGUAUAAUAAAUCUGAUAAAGAUAUUUAUUUACUAGAGUUUUAUAGGAGAAAGGGAGAACUUUUGGAGGAAAGAUAUAAUUUUUUAAUACCAAUAGGACUGAUAACGGCGAAGGCGACUUUCUAUGUAAAAACUGACGUUGAGGGACGAAGGCUUGGGGAGCGAAAAGGAUUAGAUACCCUAAUAGUCCAAGCAGAAAAUUAUGAAUGCCAUAAGUUAGAUUCAACAUUUAACUUGUAUUAUAAGUUUAAAUGUACAAAUAUAUUUAACAUAUAAAUGAAAGUGUAAGCAUUCCACCUUAAGAGUAAGAUGGCAACAUUGAAACUGAAAUCAUUAGACCGUUUCUGAAACCAGUAGUGAAGUAUGUGUGCGACAAGAAACGUAUAUUAGUAAUGCGGUGAAAUUCCGCUAGGCGUCUCUACCUAACACUAUCUAC
rnacentral:ncRNA from 1 species